rnacentral:misc_RNA from 1 species
CCUUGCAUUUAUUCAAGAAAUUAACCUGAUCCAGAGCAAUGCAAAAGAUGGAUGGUAUAGAGAAAGUAGGAAGAGCUUCGAGUAGGCGAGCAAGCCACAACAUGAGCAGAAGCAUAAGCAGGAGCUUUAGCAGGAGCAUGGAAGAUGUAUUUUCAGGUGGCAGGUACUCUAGGAGAAGUAGCCGACAUGCUGAGGAAGAUGAAGAAGCUCUAAAAUGGGCUGCUAUAGAGAAGUUACCAACAUAUGAUAGGCUAAGAACAACUAUCAUGAAAUCUUUUGUGGAAAAUGAGCUCCAAGGAACCAAGAUGGUCCACAAAGAAGUUGAUGUCAGUAAGCUUGAUAUGAAUGAUAGGCAGAUGUUCAUCGAUAUGAUUUUUAAGGUUGCAGAGGAAGAUAAUGAGAAGUUCUUGAGAAAAUUUAGACAGAGAAUCGAUAAGGUUGGAAUUUCACUUCCAACUGUGGAAGUAAGGUUUGAGCAUUUAACUGUUGAAGCCGAUUGCCAAAUUGGAAGCAGAGCUCUUCCUACUCUUCCAAAUGUUGCCAGAAACCUUGCAGAAUCAGCCAUUGGCAUGCUUGGGAUUAAUAUGUCCAAGAGAACAAAGCUCACAAUUCUUAAAGAUGCCUCUGGGAG